GUCCUAGCUGUAAACGGUGCACAUUUGCUGUAAAAGGAAUCGACCCCUUUUGUGGCGAAGCUAACGCGAUAAAUGUGCCGCCUGGGAAGUACGGUCGCAAGAUUAAAACUCAAAGAAAUUGACGGGGGCCUGCACAAGCGGUGGAGUAUGUGGCUUAAUUCGAUGCAACGCGAAGAACCUUACCUGGCCUUGACAUGCAAGUAGUAGAAGGAUGAAAGUCUAACGAGGUAGCAAUACCAGCUUGCACAGGUGCUGCAUGGCUGUCGU
rnacentral:rRNA from 1 species